rnacentral:siRNA from 1 species
UCUCUUCUCCUUUUGUGUCCGGAC